AUCAACUUUCGAUGGUAGGAUAGAGGCCUACCAUGGUGGUAACGGGUAACGGGGUGUUAGGGCACGACACCGGAGAGGGAGCCUGAGAAACGGCUACCACAUCCAAGGAUGGCAGCAGGCGCGCAAAUUACCCAAUCCCGACACGGGGAGGUAGUGACAAUAAAUAACAAUACGGGGUUCUUUAGGAUUUCGUAAUUGGAAUGAGUACAAUUUAAAUCUCUUAACGAGGAACAAUUGGAGGGCAAGUCUGGUGCCAGCAGCCGCGGUAAUUCCAGCUCCAAUAGCGUAUAUUAAAGUUGUUGCAGUUAAAAAGCUCGUAGUUGAAUUUCGGGGUCAGUAGGUUGGUCAUGCCACUGGUAUGUACUGGCCUCACUGAUUCCUCCUUCCUGAUGAGCCGUAAUGCCAUUAAUUUGGUGUUGCGAGGAAUCUGGACUGUUACUUUGAAAAAAUUAGAGUGUUUAAAGCAGGCUAACGCUUGAAUACAUUGGCAUGGAAUAAUGAAAUAGGACGUUCGAUCUUAUUUUGUUGGUUUCUAAGAUUGACGUAAUGAUUAAUAGGGAUAGUUGGGGGCAUUAGUAUUCAAUUGUCAGAGGUGAAAUUCUUGGAUUUAUUGAAGACUAACUACUGCGAAAGCAUUUGCCAGGGAUGUUUUCAUUAAUCAAGAACGAAAGUUAGGGGAUCGAAGACGAUCAGAUACCGUCGUAGUCUUAACCAUAAACUAUGCCGACUAGGGAUCGGAUGAUGUUAAUUUUUUAAUGACUCAUUCGGCGCCUUACGGGAAACCAAAGUGUUUGGGUUC
rnacentral:rRNA from 1 species